GACGAACCGAGCGAACGUUAUUCGGAAUCACUGGGCUUAAAGGGCGCGUAGGCGGGCUGCCAAGUCAAGGGUGAAAGCCCCCGGCUCAACCGGGGAAGUGCCUCUGAUACUGGCGGCCUCGAGGGAGGUAGGGGCGUGCGGAACUUCCGGUGGAGCGGUGAAAUGCGUAGAUAUCGGAAGGAACACCGGUGGCGAAAGCAGCGCGCUGGACCUCUUCUGACGCUGAGGCGCGAAAGCCAGGGGAGCGAACGGG
rnacentral:rRNA from 1 species